CCUUUCAGUCCUCUGUCAGAGCUGCAGUGAUGGUGGGCACUUGGCUAGAGGACAGACCUGAGC
rnacentral:misc_RNA from 1 species